rnacentral:rRNA from 1 species
CCUACGGGAGGCUGCAGUGGGGAAUAUUGCACAAUGGGGGAAACCCUGAUGCAGCGACGCCGCGUGAGUGAAGAAGUAUCUCGGUACGUAAAGCUCUAUCAGCAGGGGAGAAAAUGACGGUACCUGACUAAGAAGCCCCGGCUAACUACGUGCCAGCAGCCGCGGUAAUACGUAGGGGGCAAGCGUUAUCCGGAUUUACUGGGUGUAAAGGGAGCGUAGACGGCAGCACAAGUCUGGAGUGAAAUCCCGGGGCUUAACCCCGGAACUGCGUUGGAAACUGUGCGGCUGGAGUGCAGGAGGGGGAAGCGGAAUUCCUGGGGGAGCGGUGAAAUGCGUAGAUAUUAGGAGGAACACCGGUGGCGAAGGCGGCUUACUGGACUGUAACUGACGUGGAGGCUCGAAGGCGUGGGGAGCAAACAGGAUUAGAUACCCGGGUAGUC